CCUACGGGAGGCAGCAGUGAGGAAUAUUGGUCAAUGGGCGGAAGCCUGAACCAGCCAAGUAGCGUGCAGGAUGACGGCCCUACGGGUUGUAAACUGCUUUUAUACGGGAAUAACGCGCCUUACGUGUAGGGCUUUGCAUGUACCGUAUGAAUAAGGACCGGCUAAUUCCGUGCCAGCAGCCGCGGUAAUACGGAAGGUCCGUGCGUUAUCCGGAUUUAUUGGGUUUAAAGGGAGCGUAGGCCGCAUGUCAAGCGGUCUGUGAAAUUUCCGGGCUCAACCCGGGCCUUGCAGCGCGAACUGGCGUGCUUGAGUCCGCGGAAAGCAGGCGGAAUUCGUCGUGUAGCGGUGAAAUGCUUAGAUAUGACGAAGAACCCCGAGCGCGAAGGCAGCUUGCUGCAGCGGAACUGACGCUGAUGCUCGAAAGCGCGGGUAUCGAACAGGAUUAGAUACCCGUGUAGUC
rnacentral:rRNA from 1 species